rnacentral:rRNA from 1 species
AGCAGCCGCGGUAAUUCCAGCUCCAAUAGCGUAUAUUAAAGUUGUUGCAGUUAAAAAGCUCGUAGUUGAAUUUCGGGGUCAGUAGGUUGGUCAUGCCACUGGUAUGUACUGAUCUUACUGAUUCCUCCUUCCUGAUGAACCGUAAUGCCAUUAAUUUGGUGUUGCGGGGAGACUGGACUGUUACUUUGAAAAAUUAGAGUGUUUAAAGCAGGCUAACGCUUGAAUACAUUAGCAUGGAAUAAUGAAAUAGGACGUUCGAUCCUAUUUUGUUGGUUUCUAGGAUAGACGUAAUGAUUAAUAGGGAUAGUUGGGGGCAUUAGUAUUCAAUUGUCAG